UUCGGUUGGAAGGAAAGAUGUAUUGUUCUAGCGGCGGACGGGUGAGUAACGCGUGAGCAACCUGUCCCUUACAGGGGGAUAACACAGCGAAAGUUGUACUAAUACCGCAUGAGACCACAGUGAGACAUCUCACAGGGGUCAAAGGAGCAAUCCGGUAAGGGGUGGGCUCGCGUCCGAUUAGAUAGUUGGUGAGGUAACGGCCCACCAAGUCGACGAUCGGUAGCCGACCUGAGAGGGUGAUCGGCCACAUUGGGACUGAGACACGGCCCAAACUCCUACGGGAGGCAGCAGUGGGGAAUAUUGGGCAAUGGGGGAAACCCUGACCCAGCAACGCCGCGUGAGGGAAGAAGGUUUUCGGAUCGUAAACCUCUGUCCUUGGUGAAGAGGAAGAGACGGUAGCCAAGGAGGAAGCCCCGGCUAACUACGUGCCAGCAGCCGCGGUAAUACGUAGGGGGCGAGCGUUGUCCGGAAUGAUUGGGCGUAAAGGGCGCGUAGGCGGCCUGUUAAGUCUGGAGUGAAAGUCCUGCUUUUAAGGUGGGAAUUGCUUUGGAUACUGAUGGGCUUGAGUGCAGGAGAGGUAAGUGGAAUUCCCAGUGUAGCGGUGAAAUGCGUAGAGAUUGGGAGGAACACCAGUGGCGAAGGCGACUUACUGGACUGUAACUGACGCUGAGGCGCGAAAGUGUGGGGAGCAAACAGG
rnacentral:rRNA from 1 species